GCCGUACCUGGGGAGGGGACCACGGAUCGGAUAAAAGAGCAGGAAGAGGAAACGGGUCGAUGCAGGUCGGACCCAAAGCCAACUCGGGUUCAACAGGUUGACGCCGUGGAAGAAGAACAAAAACCUUUCAACCCACAAUGACAACCGCUUGUCAGUGGAGGAUGAAGGAAGACACUUUGACUCCGAAAAGCGGAACUGGUGCCGCCGGACGACCGCGAAGACCGAGUCGAAGCCCUGCUCCGUGAUCAUCUCCAGGGCCUCCUUCAGGUGGAACGGGUGGAGACACGGGGAGGUGGCCUG